GAACAGCUAGGAGGCAGUGUAGCUGGAGGGGAUGAAGCUAAGGGGAUACUUGUAGGAUAUGAAGUCACACAGUUGAUGACACAAGUGGGGCCAGAUAUGUCAAGCUUUCCAAGACAUUUCGAAAACCGUUACUCUGAGUAAAAUGGGAGCCAUUGCAGAGUUUCAGGCAGGACUUGGACUGGCCCUGAUCAGGUUUGGCCCCAUGACAGGAAGACUGAAGGGCAACCAGCAAUAGCUACAAGACAUAUAGCAGGAGCAUGCUCAGAAGAUGGAAACCUUCUUCUCAGAUGACCUCGAGCUGUCUAAGAACCAAAAAUUCCCAAACUACAGAACUCAAUGUAAAGAGAAAGCAGAACAGGGAAUCUAAUAAGAAACGAGGGGCCCCUUGCUUUGUAGCACAUCAGACUUAUAAGACUGUUACACUCUCAUCCCCCAAUCAGAUUCCACCAAGUUAACAUUUGUAUAACCACUCCCACUCCCAACUCCUUAAAAGUCUGUCCCUGCUCAGCUUGGGGAGAUAGACUUGAGCCUUGCCUCCUGUCUCUUUGCAGGUCCACCAUGCAAUAAAGCUCUUUCAUCU